AUCAACUUUCGAUGGUAGGAUAGAGGCCUACUACGGUGGUGACGGGUGACGGAGAAUUAGGGUUCGAUUCCGGAGAGGGAGCCUGAGAAACGGCUACCACAUCCAAGGAUGGCAGCAGGCGCGCAAAUUACCCAAUCCCGACACGGGGAGGUAGUGACAAUAAAUAACAAUACGGGGUUCUUUAGGAUUUCGUAAUCGGAAUGAGUACAAUUUAAAUCUCUUAACGAGGAACGAUUGGAGGGCAAGUCUGGUGCCAGCAGCCGCGGUAAUUCCAGCUCCAAUAGCGUAUAUUAAAGUUGUUGCAGUUAAAAAGCUCGUAGUUGAACUUCGGGGUUUACCCAUUGGUCAGGCUUAAUUGUCUGUACUGGUGAGAUGAAUCUCUACCUUCUGAGGAACUUUCAUGCCAUUUAUUUGGUGUGAUUGGAAAUCAGGACUGUUACUUUGAAAAAAUUAGAGUGUUUAAAGCAGGCUAACGUCUGAAUACAUUAGCAUGGAAUAAUGAAAUAGGACGGAUUGAUUCUAUUUCGUUGGUUUCUAGGAUCACCGUAAUGAUUAAUAGGGAUAGUUGGGGGCAUUAGUAUUCAAUUGUCAGAGGUGAAAUUCUUGGAUUUAUUGAAGACUAACUACUGCGAAAGCAUUUGCCAAGGAUGUUUUCAUUAAUCAAGAACGAAAGUUAGGGGAUCGAAGACGAUCAGANACCGUCGUAGUCUUAACCAUAAACUAUGCCGACUAGGGAUCGGACGAAGUUA
rnacentral:rRNA from 1 species